rnacentral:lncRNA from 1 species
AUCUGCUUCUUUAAAAGUGUGUGGCACCUCUCGUCUCUCUCUUUCUCCUGCUCCCACCAUGAAAGACGUGCUUGCUUCCCUUCACCUUCUGCCAUGACUCUAAGUUUCCUGAGGCCUCCCCAGAAGCAGAAGCCUGUACAGCCCACAGAACUGUUGGAUCACAGACCAAUGGAACAGAAGGGAGACUAGAAAUAGACCCAUGCAAGUCAGUGGAGAAAGGAUGGAUUAUUUUCAUAAAUGCUGCUGGAAAUAAAUUUGAAUGGAAAAAAUGAAACUGGAUCACCACACCAUGCACAAAAAUUAAUUAUGGCUCAAUUAAAGACUUACGUGAUAAAUGCAAAGCUAUAAAACACAGAGUACAAUGCAGAAAGAUCAAUAUAUGACUUUGGAAUGGAAAGAUUUCUUAAAUAAGAUGCAAAAACUGUUAAUUAUAUAGAAAAAAAUGAUAAAUUUGACCACAUUAAAAUUAGGAAUUUCUGUGCCUGGGAUUUGUUUGUGUUUUCUUUGAAUCCCCUGUAGCACCAAGGACAGUGCCUGCACACACUAGAAAUGUCUCUACUAUGUUCCAAGGCUGGCUUCUCCAGCAUGCCAGAUUCCAUUUUCUAAGUUUC